rnacentral:lncRNA from 1 species
GUCAUUACUGGGAAACCAGAGCGUCUCAGGAGGCCUAAGUCUCCAUUCUCACGCUGACUUGGAAGGAAAAUCUGGCGGAUCAGCUGACGGACGGAGACAGAAAGAAGCUCAACGCCCGGAACGUUUGUAUUGUUUCAUCAUCACAUUUAAUAGUUCCAGUAAACGUAAAAAUAAUCACAAAGAGCUGAAUCAGCUAAUUGUUUGGUGCCACAUGUGAGGAGGGAGUCGGCAGGAAACGAAGCGGACUCUGAUGUCUGCGCUCUGGAGCCUCCUGACGUUUUCCUGCCCGGUGUCCGGAGGUGUCAUGAGUGAAAACAACAACGGGGACCGUCGGGUUCUGAGACACCAGCUCUGGGCCGUUUCAGUGGAACAAGGCAGCCAUGACGCUGACUGGGGGGGGGGUCGCGACCUUUUGUCACGACAUACAAUUCCUUGGUUGUCCUGUGCAAAAUUGGCCAUUAAAGCUGAUCCUGAUUCUGAUUCUGUUCUGUGUACGUGUGAUUCAGCAACCUUCCUUUACUGACUUUGAAGUAUCUGAUUACUGUUACAUGACUGUUGACGCAGUCGUGUAAUGAAUAAGGAGCUAAUUCCAGUUUAUCUGAUAUGGAAAACAUUCUCUAACCUGGGGUUAAAUUUUACGUAACAUGUUUACGGCAGGAGUUUAACCCGAGGCCCUAAAAUGGAACCCGAGGCUUUGAAGCGGCUGUAAUGGGCAGUUUGCCCCAAUGACUGAAGAUGACUGGUCUACAUAUGCGGCGACAUAUUAAUAGCUGGAGUCUGAUCUCGGCGAAGCCGGCGGCCAGCAUCACCCGUCCAGGGAGCCCAGUUAAACAGACGCCCGUUGACACAAUAGCUGGCGGCCUGUGUCCUUCAUGCUUUACACCGUCUGGAUGGAGAAACCCAAGCCGUCACCGGCAGAGCCUGUUUGCCCACAAACACCGAGCGUCUUCAGUGGUUCAUGUGAGUUUAACCAUUUGUCUCAUCAACACCGGAGUAAAAACUACUCUGGUCCAUCUGCCAGCACCUGACACGAGCUGUAAUGAUGACAAGGCACUUCAAGGUGACUGAGCCUGAGACGGUCGGGUGACAGCGUCAGACACCGUCUGGUGAAACGCACAAACACCAUUCACUGGCCGUCACAACUGCAAAUUUAGGUUCUGCCUCCGCGAGCGGAGCCGAAGACGUCAGCGCAGUCCCGUUUACCAGCGUUACUCACCGAGGAGGAGCGCAAAGGGUCAUUCUGGUCCAGUCAUGGUAGCACAGCCUGAAACCUCCGCUGAAUCAGCAUCACUGCUGCGCGGCCGACGCUGAACGCAGACAGAGGAUGAUGCAGCUGUUUGUUGGAGCUGAGUCAGCGUUCGGGCCCGUGCUCACGGUCUGGAGGGUGUUUUUAGAGCGUGUUUGAGCGGUGUGUUCUCACCCGCUCUACACUUAGGCUAAGGCCAAGUGCCUGCUGUCCGUGCUUGGCUCAAAGGCUUUGGGGCAGUCCGUCCUGUAGUCGCCUCAAGCUAAACAUUAUGCAGUGGGAGAAUUCAGGAUGGAUAAAAAAACAUCUACGAGGGGCAACAAAUAAUCAUUGCCGUUG